CUGACCAAAACGUUAUUUUGCUGUAGAAAAAGAAUCAGACUCUGAAAUAUUGUACAAUUAGCUUGUGAAGGAAAUCAAAAAUGCAGGUGGGCAUAAAUAUAGGGAUUGGGAAUUCAAUGUAAUGGUUUUUAGUCAUCUCCCAGAGUUCUUUUUCUGGGUAUAGCUGGUUCAGUUCAUUACUGCUCCAUUAGAAAUGAUUUGGUUGAUCUCGUUGCUGAGGAUGGCCUGGUCCAUCAGAACUGGUCAUCAUAUAGUAUUGUUGUUGAAGUAUAUAAUGAUCUCCUGGUCUCAAAAGGUAUAUUUCUAAAAUUUAUUUUUUAAAAAAUAUUUCUUCAGUAACUUUCUAAAAGCUACUUAAGAUUGGAUGAUAAAAGUGAUUAUCGCUUCCUAGCUGUGUGAUCCUGGGCAAUGCCUCAAGAAAAAAAAGUGAUUAUCAGCUGAUAAUCUUGGGACACAUCAUUGAUAGGAGCUUGAACCAAUGACAUUAAAGAAUGACCCCUACUUCCUUGGGGGUAUCUUUAGAACCUUGAGGAUGAGAUAUAACCUCACUCCAGGACCUAAGAUUCAUCUCUGAGUAGUGGUUAGGAUAAGGAACUUAUAAGGAGCUUAUGAGCUGUACUCAUAAAUCUAGGCAAAUAGUAGCAAAAAAUAAAUGAAGACAUGUAAAUCUUUAAAAAUGGAAACUGAAAUUUCCUGUUUCUGUUCCUUAAGUGAGUACCCUCACAUUUCCUUCUUCCUUGACAGUCUGGGAAUAAAUCUUUCUUUUUCCAGCUUUUCUGCACUGAGAAAGUCAAGGCAAAGAAGAGUCAAAUUCAAGCAAUUGCUUUCCUAAUCCUGGGUCAUCACUCCGUCCCCAGAUAUACCUCUUUUUGGCACUUUCAGACCCCGGAAAUUUGCAUAUCCCUGCUGACUCAUAUCCUCAUAGCUUAGCCAAUAGUCUUCUCAUCAAGUUCCGGGUUGGCACUGUCACUUGCCAUCUCCAUCACAUGGCUCAGUCUCUACUUCCUCCUAGACUUCACUCUUCCCCCUCAGGCAAUCACUUUGUGCCUUAGAUUCAUAGUCUCAUAAAAGCUGAAGUCUCAGAAAUAUCCAUUAGGAUUAUCUCCAGGAUCUACAGUCCCAUCACAAGCUCUCUCCCUUGGAUGAACUCCUAUUAUAGAACUACAGAUAGCAAAAAACAAAUGUGUGUCAUAGAAUGUAAGACCCUUAAGGGCAGAAAAUAUUUUAUUUGUGUUUGUAUCCCUGAAGCACAUAGUUAAGUGCUUAAUAACAGCUUGAGAAUUGAUUGUUUUGGUUUAUUUCUCAGUGAAAUGAAAGUAGAUUAAAUGAUCUCUAAAGGUGUUAUUUUUAUUCAUACAUACUGAGAUUUGGGGUCAUUUUAUAUGAAUUGCAUGUAUCAGAACUACUAACUAUAAUGUUUGGAGUACUAGGUGAUUACUCUUGGCUUACCCUUAUUCUUUCUUCAAGAUUCUCUUUGCAAUUCAUUUUAAGCUUUACCUUUUAUGCAAAUUUUGAGAGUCAAGGGGGUGAUUUGUGCUUAGCAUUUCAGUGCCCUAGACAGUUUUAUAAUAUAAAUUGCAGUUGCAAAAAUGUAAUAUUAUAAACUGCAUUGGUAGAGAGAGCUUCCUCAUUCAGUAGUCCCCAGUGGGUCUUAGGAUGGCCCUAUAAUAAAAGACUUCUGAUAACUAAUGAGUGAUUUAAUGCUUAAUUGACUUCUCUAUUAGAAAGACCAAUAGAGUAAGGGACUAACUGAUUGGAUUCUAAG
ensembl:lncRNA